GGCCUGGUAGCCCAGUGGUAGAGCUCUUGCCUGUUACUUGGGUUUGAUUCCCAUCUGGGUCA
rnacentral:tRNA from 1 species